GACGAACGCUGGCGGCGUGCCUAACACAUGCAAGUCGAACGGGAGCAAGUGCUUCGGUAUUUGCUUUAGUGGCGAACGGGUGAGUAACGCGUGAAUAACCUGCCUUUCAGUGGGGGACAACAGUUAGAAAUGACUGCUAAUACCGCAUAAGCGCACAGCAUCGCAUGAUGCAGUGUGAAAAACUCCGGUGGUAUGAGAUGGACCCGCGUCUGAUUAGCUAGUUGGUGAGGUAAAGGCCCACCAAGGCGACGAUCAGUAGCCGACCUGAGAGGGUGAUCGGCCACAUUGGGACUGAGACACGGCCCAA
rnacentral:rRNA from 1 species